UGAGCAAUCUGCCCUUCUCAUCGGAAUAAGCGUUGGAAACGACGUCUAGUGCCGAAUACGACCUCCUUUCGCAUGAUCGGAGGUGGAAAGCUCCGGCGGAGAAGGAUGAGCUCGCGGCCUAUCAGCUAGUUGGUGUGGGUAAUGGCCCACCUAGGCGACGACGGGUAGCCGGCCUGAAAGGGUGACCGGCCACACUGGGACUGAGACACGGCCCAGACCUCCGUACGGGAGGNAGCG
rnacentral:rRNA from 1 species